AACAAACGCUGGCGGCAUGCCUAACACAUGCAAGUCGAACGAGACCUUCGGGUCUAGUGGCGCACGGGUGCGUAACGCGUGGGAAUCUGCCCUUGGGUUCGGAAUAACAGUUGGAAACGACUGCUAAUACCGGAUGAUGACGUAAGUCCAAAGAUUUAUCGCCCAAGGAUGAGCCCGCGUAGGAUUAGCUAGUUGGUGAGGUAAAGGCUCACCAAGGCGACGAUCCUUAGCUGGUCUGAGAGGAUGAUCAGCCACACUGGGACUGAGACACGGCCCAGACCCCUACGGGAGGCAGCAGGGGGGAAUAUUGCAAAAUGGGCGAAAGCCUGAUCCAUCAAUGCCGCGUGAGUGAAGAGGGCCUUAGGGUUGUAAAGCUCUUUUACCCGGGAUGAAAAUGACAGUACCGGGAAAAUAAGCCCCGGCUAACCCCGUG
rnacentral:rRNA from 1 species